UACGUAGGGGGCAAGCGUUGUCCGGAUUUAUUGGGCGUAAAGCGCACGCAGGCGGUUUUGUUAGUUCGGAGUGACAGUGCUCGGCUCAACCGAGUAAGGCCUCCGAAAACUGCAAGACUUGAGGACCAGAGAGGGACAUAGAAUUCCGGGUGGAGUGGUGAAAUGCGUAGAUAUCCGGAGGAAUACCAAAGGCGAAGGCAGUGUCCUGGCUGGUAACUGACGCUCAGGUGCGAAAGCUAGGGGAGCGAACAGGA
rnacentral:rRNA from 1 species